UACGUAUGGACCAAGCGUUGUUCGGAUUUACUGGGCGUAAAGGGCGCGUAGGCGGCGUGGUAAGUCACUUGUGAAAUCUCUGAGCUUAACUCAGAACGGCCAAGUGAUACUGCUGUGCUAGAGUGCAGAAGGGGCAAUCGGAAUUCUUGGUGUAGCGGUGAAAUGCGUAGAUAUCAAGAGGAACACCUGAGGUGCAGACGGGUUGCUGGGCUGACACUGACGCUGAGGCGCGAAAGCCAGGGGAGCAAACGGG
rnacentral:rRNA from 1 species